CAGAAGCCAUCAGGGUCUACAGCGCCAAAAGAACAAUCUAAGAAACUAAUAGACAGCGUACUCUAUAAUUUUUUUAGCGACAGCGAUAUGGAAAGCGAGCUUAUAGUUGACCAGGCUCAAAUAAAUCGUCAUUUUGAUGCGAUGACACGUGGUGAGAGGGUCUCUCCCUUGAGCUUUAAACGACGUGCUCCUGCCUCGGGACCUCUUGAUGAAAUAAUAUCUCUCCCUAAGAACAAACGCUCCAUAUUCAAAAACAAGCGGCCGGACAACAAAGCCAAGAAAUUGAAGCCCACCGAACUCAA